ensembl:lncRNA
GUAUGGCAGACUUGUGCUGCCCUAUUAAGUUCUCUAAGUAAUGAGUUAGCACAGGGAGAAAAAUGAUAGGAAAAGGAAAUGGAGGAACAGCAGCCUCCACCUCAGCUGCCUCCACCUCAGCUUUGCCAUUGCAUCAGCUGCUAGAUUUAGAUUUAAUGGCUGUAGCACAGGCAACCUCUAGUAGAAUGAAGUAUUUGUCUUAUGAUUAUUUCAGCUUUUAACUGAUAGAAUCUCAUUUCAGCUGAGAAGAAUACGAAGGAGCUGCUCCUUCAUAUACGGGUGGGACACUUCUGGACCAGAACUUCUCAGUUCGCAUUGAAGACUCUAAGAUAGAAUUGAGUAUAAUUAUCAUCUGCAAUGACACAUGUGAUGGCACACGUUUGUUUUGAACAAGACGUUAAAAAGAGUGAUUGAAUUUGCAAGAGUGACAAUUGUGACAAUUGAUAAUUGCAGAGAUGUUGCCUCCAUCAUUUUCGCAGACUAAGGACACGUCUGAAUGAGAAACGGUGCCCGAUGCUCAGAGCAACAGGAGUCCACCCUCAGGAAAUCUUGGAGAGAAGUCUGGGUUGGUUUGUAUCUGGAUCAGAAGAAUUGCAAAGAAAAAUCAAUUUUCCUGACAAAGAGCUGAUUUGAACAAGGGGCCAGAAGACAGAAGUACUGUGAGAAAUUAGUGUUGAAUGGAUCUACAACAGAACACUGCAUCUGCAGAAAAGAAGGUCAUAAUAAUUAGAGAUAUGUGGGAAAAGGCAGUAAUUUAUGUUGGUGUCUGAACUCUUAAAUAAUAUUUAAGGUGAAAAUUGGCCUGAUUUCGAAUGAAAUAUUCUGUGCUCAGAUCUUCUUUCUAAAUGUAAUGUAGCUAAAUAUAGACUCAGAACAUUGUUUCAAAACAUUGUUUUUCCACUUAAGGAAAAAAAAAAAAAAAACCUUUUGAGUUCCCUUGUCCUCCUCUCAUUUUCCCUAAAAUUCUGCCAAAUUUAAUCUGCUUUUACAAAGAGAGCUAGGCAUCUUGUAUUUUUGUAUCAAAUAAAUCAUUCACUCUAAAGGUUUUCAUCCAGCUAAUAAUACAAAUGACCAGAACAGACUGUGCUUUAUACCUUCUAACUGAAGGAGUCAUGUUUCUGACUCUGCUGCUAACUACAGAGCAAGGAGCCCCAGACCUGCCUGCACCCAUCCCAUCCCUUGAAUUCACAGAAAUAAGAAAUUGAUUUUUGGAACAGAUUAGAUGGAUAAGCAAAUUUUUUGUUGUUGUUGUUGCAAUUCCAGACUUCUCCAAAGCUUACUGGAAUUCAUAUUUUACUGGGUUUUUGUGAGGUAUCUCACACAGUUCCCCCUCCCUCGCUGUGCUGGUGGAUUUACACCCAUGGUUCCCAAGCUCAUGAACUUUGCUUUGCCUUAUUUCCCUCAAGUGAUGGAAUUGUGGACAGAUUUUGGAGUCCCAUCACUGCAAUGCAAAAUAAUAUAUUUUCUCCUGCUAAUAAGUGGAAGCCUGAGGAUUAUUUGGGUUGUUUGCUGCCAGAGUGCUGCACUGAAGCUAGGGAUGGGACAGACACUCAUUAUCUAAACCGUUGUUUUCCCCCAUAUUCCUUUCAGCUGUUCUAGAAUUUGUAUUCUAGUUAUACAAAAUAAAAUUCCUGGGCUGACCCUGGCAGACAACACCAGUUUCAAGCCUGCCUUCCACCAUUUUAGUGUGAAAAUGUGGCUGGAAGACAUCCAAAACUCUGAAGGUUUGUUUCUGUGUAAGACGUGUAAUAUCCAGCUGCCUUUGACUGAAUUUAAUGGCGUAUUUGUAUUUGAAAAAAUCAAUAAGGUUUAUGAGCUGAAGAGGGAUCCAGUGUAACCAGAUCUGUCACUUUUAUGGACACCUUCUGCAAUUCCUUGUGACACAGGAAUCAGGCUAUAGAAACCAUCCUACGCGCCCCUGCAAAACAAGAUUUAGUGCUGUAAACCUCACUGGAGCAGCUCAAGGAGAGGUACAAUGAUAGAGAACAAAGGAGAGCACUGAGAAACAACCCACCACUAAUCAGCCUAGAAGGCCAAUAAGAUCUGAUAGGUUUCUGCAAUAAAACUACCCAAAACCUCCCAGUGGAUUUUCAUACAAUAGAAAUCAAAAGGGCACAUUAGUCAUAAGGCAAGAGAGACACCAAGGGAAAACUUCCUGCUGUCAUGCUUUAAACAGCUUUCUUCUUUAGACAAAAUAGCCAUCAUGCAAAGUUCGUAACGAAUAAAAGUUUUCACUCUUUGUUGAGGUCCAGUCCAAGGUCUGUGCAGCAUUUAAGCCAUACUAUUAUGAGGCCAUAAACGGGGCACUAGUUAUAAAUUAUUUCUUAUUGCUAUUGCCUUUGAGACACCAUAAUACAUAAUGAUCUGUCAUCAACAUUUAUAAAAUACUUCUACUGGAGCAGGCGGACUUUAGUUCCUUUUCAGACUAGUCCUGCUGAUUUCAAUCAUGUCUGUGGUUAUAUCAAAGGUUUAAUUUGCUUUUCACUCCACAUUUCUGUACUUUGCUAGAUUAUCUGGAACCUCUCAUCACAGGGAGGGAAGAUAUAGUGAGAAAUGGAUGGAAUCUUUCCCUUUUUCCUCAUGACAAUUUGUGCUGGUCUCUAAAAAUUAUAUGUUGCUUAAGGCAGCAUCACCACAGAGUUCUCCCAGCACAGUGCCUGUGUGUCUUUGCACUGGAGCAUGUGGCUGCUGAAGGACAGGCACUGGAAAUCUUUAUGAAGCUCAUGCUGCACAGCCACGUGUCCAAUGCAGUGCUUUGUUUGGCCUGAGAUAAGAUUUCUUUUCCUUUGAACUUCUGUUAAGUGUUUGCAAAAUAUUCAUUAUUCCUCAAAGAAAGAAUUUCAUACAGUGUCAAUCACUCCUAGUAAGUCUUGUGUUUAUUUGUAAUCCUGUUUUGUUUUAACCUAAAGUCAAAAAUUCACAAAUAUCUGAUGGGAUUAUUAACACAAAACUGCACAAAGUCCUUUCUUUCAUUUCACAUGAUAAGCAUGAAAACUUAUGUGAGAACUGGUCUUCUGUUGAGUUAAAUUUACAUUUUGUGGAACUUACUACAAUGUGACAUAUUUAAGUUUGUAACUACUGUUUCCAAAAUUUCCAAAAGAGAACAGUCUAUUUUAGCAUUUGAUGCCAAUAAAACAAAAAGACUCAUCUUUACCCAUCUGAAAUUAGUGAUUUUUUCCCGCUGCCUUUUAUAAAGAUAAAACAUAUGCAUUAUCUGUUUUAUUUGAAUGAUAAGAGACUGGCACAGCAUAUCUGACAGAAUAGGCUUGUAUCUUUUGAUGUUCACUAACAGUAAAUAAUAAUUAAUACUUUUUUCAUUGGAUGUGGGACUGUAAGCAGUAAAGACAGUUCUUAAUCAUA